rnacentral:rRNA from 1 species
GAUGAACGCUAGCGGCAGGCCUAACACAUGCAAGUCGAGGGAGGAGCUUUCGGGCUUCGACCGGCGUACGGGUGCGUAACGCGUAUACAAUCUGCCUUUCACAUAGGGAUAGCCCGAAGAAAUUUGGAUUAAUACCUAAUGGUAUAUAGAGGUGGCAUCACCUUUAUAUUAAAGCUGAGGCGGUGAAAGAUGAGUAUGCGUUCUAUUAGCUAGUUGGAGAGGUAACGGCUCCCCAAGGCGACGAUAGAUAGGGGUUCUGAGAGGGAUAUCCCCCACACUGGUACUGGGAUACGGACCAGACUCCUACGGGAGGCAGCAGUGAGGAAUAUUGGACAAUGGUCGGAAGACUGAUCCAGCCAUGCCGCGUGCAGGAAGACGGCCUUAUGGGUUGUAAACUGCUUUUGCAGGGGAAGAAUAAGGACUACGCGUAGUUUGAUGACGGUACUCUGAGAAUAAGCAUCGGCUAACUCCGUG